AACGUAGGUGGCGAGCGUUAUCCGGAUUUACUGGGCGUAAAGGGUGUGCAGGCGGGCGACCAAGUGGUGUAUGAAAUAGCCCGGCUUAACCGGGCGAGGUUAUGCCAGACUGGCCGUCUGGAGUGCGAGAGAGGGGCGUGGAAUUCCGGGUGUAGUGGUGAAAUGCGUAGAGAUCCGGAGGAACCCCAGAGGCGAAGGCGGCGCCCUGGCUCGCAACUGACGCUCAGACACGAAAGCAUGGGGAGCGAACGGG
rnacentral:rRNA from 1 species